GACGUAGGGCGCGAGCGUUGUCCGGAUUUAUUGGGCGUAAAGAGCUCGUAGGCGGCUUGUCGCGUCGGCUGUGAAAACCCGCGGCUCAACUGUGGGCGGGCAGCUGAUACGGGCAGGCUGGAGUUCGGUAGGGGAGACUGGAAUUCCUGGUGUAGCGGUGAAAUGCGCAGAUAUCAGGAGGAACACCGGUGGCGAAGGCGGGUCUCUAGGCCGAUACUGACGCUGAGGAGCGAAGGCGUGGGGAGCGAACAGG
rnacentral:rRNA from 1 species